UACGUAGGGUCCUAGCGUUGUCCGGAAUUAUUGGGCGUAAAGAGCUUGUAGGCGGUUUGUCGCGUCUGCUGUGAAAUUUCGGGGCUCAACCCCGAACUUGCAGUGGGUACGGGCAGACUAGAGUGUGGUAGGGGAGACUGGAAUUCCUGGUGUAGCGGUGAAAUGCGCAGAUAUCAGGAGGAACACCGAUGGCGAAGGCAGGUCUCUGGGCAUUAACUGACGCUGAGGAGCGAAAGCAUGGGGAGCGAACAGG
rnacentral:rRNA from 1 species